rnacentral:rRNA from 1 species
GGUCAAGCUACAAAGGGCGCAUGGCGAAUGCCUUGGCACUAGGAGCCGAAGAAGGACGCGUUAAGCUGCGAUAAGCUUUGGGUAGGCGCAAAUAGCCUGUGAUCCAAAGAUUUCCGAAUGGGGGAACCCACAUAGUAACAACUAUGUACUGCAUACUGAAUAAAUAGGUAUGCAGAGGUAGACCCGGGGAACUGAAACAUCUAAGUACCCGGAGGAAGAGAAAGAAAUAUCGAUUUCCUAAGUAGCGGCGAGCGAAAGGGAAUGAGCCCAAACCUAAGUCUUUGACUUAGGGGUUGAGGAUAGAUCAUAAAUACUGUAAUUCUUUAAUUGAAGAUAGCUGGAAAGCUGCUCCGCAGAAGGUAAUAGGCCUGUAAAUGAAAAGGAAGAACAGUCAGAUCUAAUCCAGAGUACCACGAGACACGUGAAACCUUGUGGGAAGCUGGGAGGACCACCUCCCAAGGCUAAAUACUACCUAGUGACCGAUAGUGAAGAAGUACCGU